rnacentral:rRNA from 1 species
ACGCUGGCGGCAUGCCUAACACAUGCAAGUCGAACGAGACCUUCGGGUCUAGUGGCGCACGGGUGCGUAACGCGUGGGAAUCUGCCCUUGGGUUCGGAAUAACUCAGAGAAAUUUGAGCUAAUACCGGAUGAUGACGAAAGUCCAAAGAUUUAUCGCCCAGGGAUGAGCCCGCGUAAGAUUAGCUUGUUGGUGGGGUAAUGGCCUACCAAGGCGACGAUCUUUAGCUGGUCUGAGAGGAUGAUCAGCCACACUGGGACUGAGACACGGCCCAGACUCCUACGGGAGGCAGCAGUGGGGAAUAUUGGACAAUGGGCGCAAGCCUGAUCCAGCAAUGCCGCGUGAGUGAUGAAGGCCUUAGGGUUGUAAAGCUCUUUUACCAGGGAUGAUAAUGACAGUACCUGGAGAAUAAGCUCCGGCUAACUCCGUG